AAAAUAGCAUUUCUGUCUCUCUUUUCCCUUUAUUUUCCUCAGCAUGUCUAGUAAGACAGCUUCUGCAUAGUGAAUGGUUUCUUACUCUGAAUACAUUCUAGUGCUGGGAUAGUCCUGGGAAGUCAUGGUCAAACCAAAUUGCCUACAAGCACUGGAUUAAGUGCCGGUUAAUUGGGCAAUUUAGAGGCUGUGACUAGAGCCUCGUGGAACAUAAUCUUGGUGCCCUGAACAGACAGAAGGCAAAUUUGCUCAAAGAUCCCUUAUAGUGCCAGUGCUCCUCCAGGUAAAAAAUGCCAAAGCAGGACUGAACACAAAGUCAUUUGCUGGAACAUUUAAUAAGGAGCAAAGAGAAAAGGAGUGAAUCAAAGGGAAAUUGCUGAUUAAUACCAAAGUGUAUGCAUAAAAAUAUAUGUGUAUGACUCAUCCACAAGAGAAAGAGAGACUCCAGAUAAAUUCAACUUGCUCCUGAAAAAGUGAAAAGUAGAAGGACUGUCUUGGAA
rnacentral:lncRNA from 1 species